rnacentral:rRNA from 1 species
UCAUGGCUCAGGAUGAACGCUGGCGGCGUGCCUAACACAUGCAAGUCGAACGGGGUGUUCCUUCGGGGACACUUAGUGGCGAACGGGUGAGUAACGCGUGAGAAACCUGCCUUUCAGUGGGGGACAACAGUUGGAAACGACUGCUAAUACCGCAUAAUGUUAUUUGGGGGCAUCCCCGAAUAACCAAAGCUUAAUGUGCUGAAAGAUGGUCUCGCGUCUGAUUAGCUAGAUGGCGGGGUAACGGCCCACCAUGGCGACGAUCAGUAGCCGGUCUGAGAGGAUGAACGGCCACAUUGGGACUGAGAUACGGCCCAGACUCCUACGGGAGGCAGCAGUGGGGAAUAUUGGGCAAUGGGGGAAACCCUGACCCAGCAACGCCGCGUGAAGGAAGAAGGCCUUCGGGUUGUAAACUUCUUUUACCAGGGACGAACACAAUGACGGUACCUGGAGAAAAAGCAACGGCUAACUACGUGCCAGCAGCCGCGGUAAUACGUAGGUUGCAAGCGUUGUCCGGAUUUACUGGGUGUAAAGGGCGUGUAGGCGGAGAUGCAAGUUGGGAGUGAAAUCCCGGGGCUCAACCCCGGAACUGCUUUCAAAACUGCAUCCCUUGAGUAUCGGAGAGGCAAGCGGAAUUCCUAGUGUAGCGGUGAAAUGCGUAGAUAUUAGGAGGAACACCAGUGGCGAAGGCGGCUUGCUGGACGACAACUGACGCUGAGGCGCGAAAGCGUGGGGAGCAAACAGGAUUAGAUACCCUGGUAGUCCACGCUGUAAACGAUGAAUACUAGGUGUGGGAGGACUGACCCCUUCCGUGCCGCAGUUAACACAAUAAGUAUUCCACCUGGGGAGUACGACCGCAAGGUUGAAACUCAA